UGGGGCGUCGCCAAGUUGGUAAGGCACCAGAUUUUGGUUCUGGCAUGCGUUGGUUCGAAUCCAGCCGCCCCAGCCA
rnacentral:tRNA from 1 species